AUUACAUUGUGCAGCAUGAUACA
rnacentral:siRNA from 1 species